AGGCCAGUAGCGCAAUUGGCAGCGCACCCGGCUCCAAACAGGGCGGUUGCGUGUUCAAGUCCUGCCUGGCCUG
rnacentral:tRNA from 1 species